CACGAACUGUGGUUCGUGGCGACUUCUUAGAGGGACUGUCAGUGUUUAACUGACGGAAGUUUGAGGCAAUAACAGGUCUGUGAUGCCCUUAGAUGUUCUGGGCUGCACGCGCGCUACACUGAUGAAACCAGCGAGUCUAUAACCUUGGCCGACAGGUCUG
rnacentral:rRNA from 1 species